CAUGUAGGCGGCCCCAUAAGUGCCUUGUGAAAUGCCACGGCCCAACCGUGGAAUUGCUUGGCAUACUGUGCGGGCUUGGAGGACGAGGUAGAGGCAUGUGGAACUCUUGGUGGAGCGGUGGAAUGCGUAGAUAUCAAGAGGAACGCCGGUGGCGAAAGCGACGUGCUGGGCCUGUCCUGACGCUGAGAUGCGAAAGCCAGGGGAGCAAACGGGAUUAGAUACCCUGGUAGUCCUAGCCCUAAACCAUCAGGACUUGGCGUGGGUCCCGUUCGGGGCCCGUGUCGGAGCUAACGCGUGAAGUCCUGCGCCUGGGGAGUACGGUCGCAAGGCUGAA
rnacentral:rRNA from 1 species